rnacentral:tRNA from 1 species
GUUGAUUUAGCUCAGCGGCAUAAGCGCCUGCCUUGCAAGCAUGUGGUCCUGAGUUCAAUCCCCAGUACCGACA